rnacentral:rRNA from 1 species
AACAGGAUUAGAUACCCUGGUAGUCCACGCCGUAAACGAUGUCGACUUGGAGGCUGUUCCCUUGAGGAGUGGCUUCCGGAGCUAACGCGUUAAGUCGACCGCCUGGGGAGUACGGCCGCAAGGUUAAAACUCAAAUGAAUUGACGGGGGCCCGCACAAGCGGUGGAGCAUGUGGUUUAAUUCGAUGCAACGCGAAGAACCUUACCUACUCUUGACAUCCAGAGAAUUUAGCAGAGAUGCUUUAGUGCCUUCGGGAACUCUGAGACAGGUGCUGCAUGGCUGUCGUCAGCUCGUGUUGUGAAAUGUUGGGUUAAGUCCCGCAACGAGCGCAACCCUUAUCCUUUGUUGCCAGCGCGUAAUGGCGGGAACUCAAAGGAGACUGCCGGUGAUAAACCGGAGGAAGGUGGGGAUGACGUCAAGUCAUCAUGGCCCUUACGAGUAGGGCUACACACGUGCUACAAUGGCGCAUACAAAGAGAAGCGACCUCGCGAGAGCAAGCGGACCUCAUAAUGUGCGUCGUAGUCCGGAUUGGAGUCUGCAACUCGACUCCAUGAAGUCGGAAUCGCUAGUAAUCGUAAAUCAGAAUGUUACGGUGAAUACGUUCCCGGGCCUUGUACACACCGCCCGUCACACCAUGGGAGUGGGUUGCAAAAGAAGUAGAUAGCUUAACCUUCGGGAGGGCGUUUACCACUUUGUGAUUCAUGACUGGGGUGAAGUCGUAACAAGGUAACCGUAGGGGAACCUGCGGCUGGAUCACCUCCUU